rnacentral:rRNA from 1 species
UACGGAGGGGGCUAGCGUUGUUCGGAAUUACUGGGCGUAAAGCGCACGUAGGCGGCUUUGUAAGUUAGAGGUGAAAGCCUGGAGCUCAACUCCAGAACUGCCUUUAAGACUGCAUCGCUUGAAUCCAGGAGAGGUGAGUGGAACUCCGAGUGUAGAGGUGAAAUUCGUAGAUAUUCGCAAGAACACCAGUGGCGAAGGCGGCUCACUGGCCCGAUACUGACGCUGAGGCACGAAAGCGUGGGGAGCAAACAGG